rnacentral:rRNA from 1 species
AUUGAACGCUGGCGGCAGGCUUAACACAUGCAAGUCGAACGAGUGGCGGACGGGUGAGUAAUGCUUGGGAAUCUAGCUUAUGGAGGGGGAUAACUACGGGAAACUGUAGCUAAUACCGCGUACCAUAGGAUGAGCCCAAGUGGGAUUAGGUAGUUGGUGAGGUAAAGGCUCACCAACCCUACGAUCUCGAGCUGGUAUGAGAGGAUGACCAGCCACACUGGGACUGAGACACGGCCCAGAUGCCUACGGGAGGCAGCAGUGGGGAAUAUUGCGCAAUGGGGGCAACCUGACGCAGCCAUGCCGCGUGAAUGAAGAAGGUCUUCGGGUUGUAAAGUUCUUUCGGUAGCGAGGCGUUAACUACAGAAGAAGCACCGGCUAACUCCGUGCCAGCCGCCGCGGUAAUUC